CUGAGGAAGAGUCAGGAGUCUGUACUGAGGAAGAGCCUGGCGUCUCUCCUGAGGAAGAUUCAGGAGUCUGUACUGAGGAAGAGUCUGGAGGCUGUACUGAGGAAGAGUCAGGAGUCUUUACUGAGGAAUAGCCUGGCGUGUCUCCUGAGGAAGACUCGGGAAUAUCCCAGUCUGACACAGCUCCGGCCCUGGGCUGCUGUACGUCAUCUUCAUCAUCAUCAGUGUCCGUCACCCACUGUCCACCUCUCUCUCUGUCCACCUCCUAUUGUCCAUCACUCACUGUCCACCUCUUCUGUCCCGAAGGAGAGACUGACAGCUGCAGAGAGACAGACAGCGCCCCCUCCUGGACAGACUCCUCCGGGGUCUCCUCAGGACUGUCCUUCUACAGUUUCCGACUGCGCCUCUUCCUCGUUCUUCCUCAAGGCCUGUCCGUCAUGACUCUCCUGGCGUCCGAGAGAUCCCUGCUCAUCCGGAACAAGUUCCGCUCCGUCCUGCAGUUACGCAUACAGAACCGGAGACAGCAGACAGAGCUGAGCUCUGAAAACGGUAAGAGUCUCCAGUCCCUUAUACCAAACUGUAAGGAGAGUUUA
rnacentral:lncRNA from 1 species